CCUACGGGCGGCAGCAGUGAGGAAUAUUGGGCAAUGGGCGCAAGCCUGACCCAGCAACGCCGCGUGAAGGAAGAAGGCUUUCGGGUUGUAAACUUCUUUUGUCAGGGAAGAGUAGAAGACGGUACCUGACGAAUAAGCCACGGCUAACUACGUGCCAGCAGCCGCGGUACUACGGAGGUGGCAAGCGUUGUCCGGAUUUACUGGGUGUAAAGGGCGUGUAGCCGGGUUGACAAGUCAGAUUGGAAAUCCUGCGGCUUAACCGCAGAAGUGCAUUUGACACUGUUGAUCUGGAGUACUGGAGAGGCAGACGGAAUUCCUGGUGUAGCGGUGAAAUGCGUAGAUAUUAGGAGGAACACCAGUGGCGAAGGCGGUCUGCUGGACAGCAACUGACGGUGAGGCGCGAAAGCGUGGGGAGCAAACAGGAUUAGAUACCCGGGUAGUC
rnacentral:rRNA from 1 species